GGAUGUGAGGGCAAUCUGGCUGCGACAUCUGUCGCCUCACUAACCUCCAGCGUUGAGGGACUGACCCAGCUGGCUGGUUGGGAUCCUCUUCCUCCCUCAGCGCUUCCUGUGCAUCGGUCCUGAAGUGCACGCUCGGUGGAAGAGGACCAACCCGACAGAGGAGGCCGUUCAUGGGUCAAGGGUGUACGAGUAGCUGCGCUCCCUUGUCAGAACCUCCAAACAAGUUCUCAAGAAAAAAAAAAAAAAAAAAAAAAAAUCAAAAAAGGAAUCUAUUUUUCCUUCAGGGAUAAUUGUUUUU
rnacentral:snRNA from 1 species